AGAAUGAACGUUGGUGGCGUGGAUUAGGCAUGCAAGUCGUGCGAGAAGGGGCCGCAAGGCCCCGGACAGCGGCGAACGGGGUAGUAAGGCGUCGGUACGUGCCCAAGGGUCCGGGAUAGCGGCGGGAAACUGCCGGUAAUACCGGAUGACCUCUUCGGAGCAAAGGUGUGAUUCCGCCCGUGGAGCGGCCGACGUGGUACCAGCUAGUUGGUGAGGUAACGGCUCACCAAGGCUCAGACGCCUAGGGGGUGUGAGAGCAUGGCCCCCACACUGGGACUGAGACACUGCCCAGACACCUACGGGUGGCUGCAGUCGAGAAUCUUCGGCAAUGGGCGCAAGCCUGACCGAGCGACGCCAGUGCGGGAUGACGGCCCUCGGGUUCGUAAACCGCGUGGUCGGGGGGAUGGAAGGUCGACCGGGGCGAACGUCCCCGGUGUUGACAGACGCCCGGAGGAAGCGCGGCGUAAGUACGUGCCAGCAGCC
rnacentral:rRNA from 1 species